UUCUAAUUAAUCACUGAACACAUUGUACGUGUUAAAGUCCCUUACAAAAGAAUCACUUCACUGUCUACAAAAGCUGAUCGCUUGAUUUCAAAUUUUUAAAAUUACAAUAACUAACAAGACAAGAAAUUUGAGAGAUACUGUAGACAGUAUCAACAGCCUUAGUUUGCUCAGGAUGAAAAUAUUUUUUCAAGUAUUCAGAUGAACAAUGAGUGUGCUUUAGUUUGAUAGUUUCUGUUACCUCAUUGUUGCUGAGGCAUAACAGUGUGCUCCUCUACACGCCAAAAUUGCACAUCUGCACAAAUUCCAUUUCAGAAUCAAUAUAUUUAGUCCAUAGCUCCUUGUAUUGAUUCAAGGCUAUGUCCAGCCAAGGCUUCAUAUCCCCAUUAUAGUGAAUCACAGCAGCCUUGUGGAUUUCAUCCAUGCUUACACUCGGAUUGAACCCAAGUCCAAGUACAUGCCACGACUUAUCCAGUGAUUUGGUUUUCGAGAAGAAGGUCAUCAGCCCAGCUGGAAGUGUUCCCAAUUUCCACAAUGUACGAUCCUCAUUCAAAUUCUGCCAGUAGUGAUACUGCUCAGUGCAUUUUUCACGCCUCCAGGCGUCAAGAUCAAAAAUAUUCAUCCCAAAUGCCCAGGCACACGCCUUAGGGUUGAACUUUUCCCUAACAAGAGGGUGAGAGAAAUUCAAGUACUGAGAAUAGCGAUGAAAAGAUCCAAAGCAGGUCUCAACUGCCCCAUUGACCUUCCCAUCCAAAUCGAUUGUCCACAAUGCAGUCAAAUCCUUCUGAACCACAACAUCAUCAUCCAGAAACAAAAUCCUGUGAAGUGUUGGAUACAUCUCGGGCAAAUAAAAUCUUAAGUGAUUUAACAUAGACAAGUACUUUGGAUUCUUAAAUUUCAUGUUGUUCACAUCUUGCGUAGCAUUCUCCGCACUGUUUUGGAAGUAAAAGUUCUGCAGCUUUGCGGACUCAAGUUGCUUGAGCACUGGAACAUAGGAAGAAGUUAAGAAUGUAAAAUCUUCAACAGAUUUGAUUUCAAUGUGAGCUUGCUGAAUAGGCCUCAUCUUAAACCACACUUUCAUUGCAGCUAAAUUCAUCCUAUCGGUAACAACAUGGAACACGUGUUUCCAUGGCUCCUCUGCGUUCUUUAUAACUGAAUUCACAACCACGGAUACUGCAAUGACAUUAUCUGAAAAUAUGGCAUAAUGA
rnacentral:misc_RNA from 1 species